GAUGAACGCUAGCGGCAGGCCUAACACAUGCAAGUCGAGGGGUAUAGUUAGCUUGCUAACUAGAGACCGGCGCACGGGUGCGUAACGCGUAUGCAAUCUACCUUUUACAGAGGGAUAGCCCAGAGAAAUUUGGAUUAAUACCUCAUAGUAUUUUCGAAUGGCAUCAUUUGAUUAUUAAAGUACCAACGGUAAAAGAUGAGCAUGCGUCCCAUUAGCUAGAUGGUAAGGUAACGGCUUACCAUGGCAACGAUAGGUAGGGGUCCUGAGAGGGAGAUCCCCCACACUGGUACUGAGACACGGACCAGACUCCUACGGGAGGCAGCAGUGGGGAAUAUUGGACAAUGGGCGCAAGCCUGAUCCAGCCAUGCCGCGUGCAGGAAGACGCAUCUAUGGUGUGUAAACUGCUUUUGUACGGGAAGAAACACCCCUUCGUGAAGGGGCUUAACGGUACCGUAAGAAUAAGGAUCGGCUAACUCCGUGCCAGCAGCCGCCGUAACAC
rnacentral:rRNA from 1 species